CUCUUCCAGCUGUCAUUUUAAAUACGUUGGAGCAUUUAUAUCUGGACGAGUGAAUUUGUUAUUCAUUUUACCUGUUAAUAUUAGGUUAUGUUAACUAUAUAUAUAUUUUUCAUAUAUAUUUAUACAUGACAAUUAAAAUGAAUAAUUACAAACAAGAUAGUGACGUGUAUAUUCUUAAUUUUUUAUUAUAAACUAAGAACUAUAUUAAUAACGGAUUUUUUAAAUAUCUAACAAGCAUCUUUUAAGAUGAGACGUUCAAGAAUAAAAGCAGUGGCCACAGUACCAGUGCGUCGAAGGGCGUUACAAAGUGCAGUUAAAGAUGAAACAAAUAAUUCUAACGAUAAUAAAACAAAUGAAAAUAAAGAUAAUGAUAAUAAUAUAAAUAAUGA